rnacentral:misc_RNA from 1 species
AAGGAUCAUUACAAGUGAGGCUACCGAACGUUGGAAACAGCGGUUAGGAGCUUACACCCACCCGUGUUUACAUACUAUUGUUGCUUUGGCGGGCCGUGGCCUCCACUGCGGGCUCUGCUCGUGUGUGCCCGCCAGAGGACCAAACUCUGAAUGUUAGUGAUGUCUGAGUACUAUCUAAUAGUUAAAACUUUCAACAACGGAUCUCUUGGUUCUGGCAUCGAUGAAGAACGCAGCGAAAUGCGAUAAGUAAUGUGAAUUGCAGAAUUCAGUGAAUCAUCGAAUCUUUGAACGCACAUUGCGCCCUGUGGUAUUCCGCAGGGCAUGCCUGUUCGAGCGUCAUUUAACCACUCACGCCUAGCGUGGUAUUGGGGCACGCGGUCUCGCGGCCCUCAAAAUUAGUGGCGGCGCCGGUGGGCUCUAAGCGUAGUACAUACUCCCGCUAUAGAGUUCCCCCGGUGGCUCGCCAGAACCCCCAAUUUUUUACAGGUUGACCUCGGAUCAGGUAGGGAUACCCGCUGAACUUAA